rnacentral:misc_RNA from 1 species
UCGCGUACGGCGCGCCGGUCGCCAUUCUCGGCGUAACAUAACAUAAAACGCGAAUAAUUAACGUUUAAACUUGCUUAUUGGUCAGUUUUGCAAUCGAAAUUUGAAAAAUGACUGUUGAUUCCACCCCGACUUCGGUUUCUGGUAUCAAUAUAAAAAGCUCCCAAAACCGUCUGCUCAUCAAAAAUGGGAGGGUUGUCAACGAUGACGGAAUGGAAGAUCUGGAUGUCUACAUUGAAGAUGGCGUCAUCAAACAAAUCGGGCGCAAUCUCAUCAUCCCCGGAGGCACCAGGACCAUCGAUGCCACUGGCAAGCUGGUGAUGCCAGGAGGCAUUGACCCUCACACGCACUUCGAACUGGAGAUGAUGGGCGCCAAGUCCGCUGAUGACUUUUAUAAGGGGACCAGAGCGGCCAUCGCUGGGGGAACAACUUGUGUCAUUGACUUUGUACUGCCGCAGAAGGGCCAGUCUUUGCUGGAGGCGUACAAUAAUUGGAGGGAGAAAGCUGACAACAAGGUAUGCUGCGACUACGCUCUCCACGUAGGAGUGACCUGGUGGUCUCCCGCAGUCAAGAAGGAGAUGCAACAGUUGACUUCAGAGCAGUAUGGAGUCAACUCCUUCAAGAUGUUCAUGGCAUAUAAGGAUGCGUGGAUGCUGGAUGACUAUGACCUGUAUUGUGCGAUGGAGGCAUGUGCUGAGCUUAGGGCUUUGCCCCAGGUACAUGCUGAAAACGGUCACAUAAUUGCCCGUAACACUGAGAAGUUACUUGCCAAAGGUCUGACGGGUCCCGAGGGUCACCAGCUGUCCCGAGAUGAGGAGGUGGAAGGAGAGGCUGUUAACAGGGCCUGUGUCAUCGCUAACCAGGCGAACUGCCCCCUAUACAUAGUGCACAUGAUGUCCAAGAGCGCAGUCCGCUACCUGCAGCUGGCGCGCGGGAAGCAACGACAUGCACUCUUCGGAGAAACCCUCGCCGCUACUGUGGGGACCGAUGGCAGCCACUACCGCAACGCGUGCUUCCGUCACGCGGCGGCGCACGUGCUGUCGCCGCCGCUGCGCCCGGACCCCGACACGCCACGCGCCGUGUGCGAGGCGCUGGCUGAUGACCAUCUCCAACUGAUAGGCAGCGACAACUGCACGUUCCACGAGAAGGACAAGGAGCUUGGCAAGGAUAACUUCGCUAAGAUUCCCAACGGCGUCAACGGCGUGGAGGAUCGCAUGGCAGUUUUGUGGCAGAAUGCUGUUAACACCGGUAUAAUGGACCCGUGCCGCUUCGUAGCAGUGACCAGCUCCAAUGCUGCCAAGAUCUUCAACAUCUGGCCGCAGAAGGGACGGAUUGCACUGAACAGUGACGCCGACAUCGUCAUCUGGGACCCCAAGCUUGAGAGAACCAUCUCUGCUGCCACACACAAGCAGGCUGUUAACUUUAAUAUUUUUGAGGGCCAACACGUAGUGGGCAGCCCUCAGUACGUGAUUGUCAACGGUCGCGUUUGUCUCGACGACGGAGAACUUAGAGUUGUUGAAGGUUUCGGCAAAUUCCUGAAGACUCCGGUAGACGCUCCCAUCGUCUACGGCGAGACAAACAACCACCACGAGGAAGUACAGCACAGACCUGGGUACCUGGACACUCCCACACGAGUCACUAACGGAACUCCUUCCCCGGAUCUAGGCCAGCUGACGAAGAGCAUGGAGAGCGUCUCCGUGUCGGGCUGCAGCACCCCCACGGGACGCAAGAUGCGCGAGCCGGGACAGAGGAACCUGCAGACAUCCACCUUCUCCAUCAGCAAAGAGACAGAGGGUCUGGACACGAAGACAUCAGUUCGCGUGCGGAACCCUCCCGGCGGGAAGUCCUCCGGCCUCUGGUAGACUCGCUUCGGAUAUGCACCGCUGCUUCUCGCCUACGGGACUCAAGCAGCGCGAGCCGGGACAGAGGAACAUGCAUACUUCUACUUUCUCUAUUAGCAAAGAGACGGAGGGUCGGGACAAGAGGACACUAGUACACUUGAAGUACCCUCCCGGAGGAAAGUGCUCCGAAUUCUGGUAGACAGUAGACAAUCUUCGUAGAAUUCUGACGUGAUUUUCACACUUUGCCUGUGAAAAGCAAUAGGUACAUACUUAAAC